UCCAUCAGCUAGCGCCAGCAUGAUCCCACACAGACCCUUCAUGGCUUUCCUAUUUACUACACAUUGUCAGGCAGAUUUCCAAGCAUUCAGAUAGAAGCAAAAUGAAACACAUAUACUCUAUGAGCAUAUGGCUUAUUGCAAGAAACAGAACCUAUGAGAAACCAGAGGAGACUUCUAUCAUGGAAAGCAGUGAAUUCCCCCAGAAUUAGGCCACAAUUCAUGGUCUGAAUUAUAAGAGCUGCUUGGGUCUGUCCAAAUCCAAUGUAUGGAUUACCUUGAUCCCCACUGCAACCCAGAAGCUUUCAGUUACCAGGAGCAGGACAACUGUGCUCGGAGAACAGCUUACCUGGUGCUGCUGUCAAAGAGAGAACUCAGGGCCUGACAGUUGUUCCACUGAUUCUCAAGAUUGGCUUCUGAUAAAGUGUUUACUUCC